rnacentral:rRNA from 1 species
GAUGAACGCUGACAGAAUGCUUAACACAUGCAAGUCUACUUGAACUUCGGUUUGGGUGGCGGACGGGUGAGUAACGCGUAAAGAACUUGCCUCACAGUUAGGGACAACAUUUGGAAACGAAUGCUAAUACCUGAUAUUAUGAUUUUAGGGCAUCCUAAGAUUAUGAAAGCUAUAUGCGCUGUGAGAGAGCUUUGCGUCCCAUUAGCUAGUUGGAGAGGUAACGGCUCACCAAGGCGAUGAUGGGUAGCCGGCCUGAGAGGGUGAACGGCCACAAGGGGACUGAGACACGGCCCUUACUCCUACGGGAGGCAGCAGUGGGGAAUAUUGGACAAUGGACCAAAAGUCUGAUCCAGCAAUUCUGUGUGCACGAUGACGUUUUUCGGAAUGUAAAGUGCUUUCAGUUGGGAAGAAAAAAAUGACGGUACCAACAGAAUAAGUGACGGCUAAAUACGUGCCAGCAGCCGCGGUAAUACGUAUGUCACAAGCGUUAUCCGGAUUUAUUGAGCGUAAGCGCGUCUAGGUGUUAUGUAAGUCUGAUGUGAAAAUGCAGGGCUCACUCUGUUAUUGCGUUGGAAACUGCUGGACUAUAGUAUGGUGAGGUUAUCGGAACUGCAAUUGUAGAGGGGAAAUUGUUGAUUUUUGUGGGAUGCCUAUGGGUAAGCCAUGUUAUGUAUAGAUUCUGACGCGUGGCUGUGUGCUUGGGGUCUAAUGGAUUUGAUGUGCCGGUAGGCCAAGGGGUGAUAUCCAUGUGUUGUAUGUUUUGUUUGGGCGUGGGUUAGGGUGAUGAUAAAAAAAAGAUUUUUUUGAUGUGUGUGUGGUUUUUAGUUGUUUGUGGCUGAUGUUUGAUGUGUGUUUGUUGUGUGUGUUUUUUGUGGUGUGUGUGUGUGUGUGGGUGUGUGGGUGGAAGUAGAUGUGUAUGUGUUAAUGUGUGGAUGUUGUGUGUGUGUGUGUGUGAAGUGGUUGACUGUAGUGCGAAGCCGUCUAU